AAUUCCACGAUCGGAUUGUUUACUUUCAUUUUUUGUUGUAACACUGAGGACUGCAUAGAACUUUAUUUUGUAUAUGUGAGAGAAGUAUGUGGAUAUCACGAGCUUAAGGCAAUGUGCGAUACACAGACAAAGCAGCUGCUACAACAUGAACUGCAUUGAGGGACACACAACACAUACGUAAUUAAAGGUGCAAAAUAUAGGGGGAAGCUUCAAAAUAUGCUCUGUAGCACUGCAAAGUAUAACAUAUAUUGUAUGUGUACAAUAAAUGUUCAAAAAAACAAUGCAUCAAUGUCCCAUUUGCCUUCAAGUUUAUUAUCAAGUUCAAGUUUACUGAAGUUUAUUAUGAGCAUAUGUACAACAGGAAUCUACUGGCACACUCGCAGUCAAGGUGGCUGUUCGAGGUGUGCUGGCUGCCUCAAAAAAGAAAGAAAGAUGAAUGUUGAUACCAGUGCUAUUGCUUCUUGCCUCUUACCUGUAUUUGCCUCCACGGCCUCUUGGCUUGCGGAGUGUGUAUGAGGGAGCUGCUGUGGCUAGGCGUAGGCAUUGUCUAAGCAAAAAGAAAAGGCCAUUCAAAUGGGGAAUUAUGGAAAUAAAUGCAGUUGUUAUGUCUGCUUCUUGCACUCUUCUUGCCUAAAAGUUUUCAAACAUAGUGUCCAGUACACACCAGCACUUUAACUGCUUCUGCUUUUUACCUGCAGGUGUUGCUGCGAGAUCCUUAGUAUGGCUGCGUGCAGCAUUGUAACACUUGGUGGAGGCAUUUGAAA
rnacentral:lncRNA from 1 species